rnacentral:rRNA from 1 species
UACGUAGGGGGCAAGCGUUGUCCGGAUUUAUUGGGCGUAAAGAGCGUGUAGGCGGCCAAGCAGGUCCGCUGUGAAAACUCGAGGCUUAACCUCGAGAUGUCAUCGGAAACCAUUUGGCUAGAGUCCGGAAGAGGAGAGUGGAAUUCCUGGUGUAGCGGUGAAAUGCGCAGAUAUCAGGAAGAACACCAAUGGCGAAAGCAGCUCUCUGGGACGGUACUGACGCUGAGACGCGAAAGCGUGGGGAGCGAACAGG